UGACGUCAGUUGGUUACGCGCAAGAAAUGGGUGAGGAUGUACGCCGCUGUGACUCUCCGCUGGACUAUUUCAAUCACGUGAAAAGAGAAACAAGUCGGGAAUAACUAACUUGUGUCCACCUGUAAAUAAGACAAACGCCACGAGGGAUUAACAGCGAGACAAGUGUGAAUAUGAACUCAAGGUGAAGCGAUUUAUGAGAAGCUUACGGUACUGAAACCUUCGCUCGCUGACAGGAUUGAGAGAAGAGACAAGAGAGAUAUAGAAAAUAAGUACCUAGACGUAUUAACAGAACAAGUGCAUGGACGCUGAAAAGAAGAGAAGUGCGACAAAGUGGCGGGGAAACAUCUAAAGGAGAGGAAUGUGUGAUGGCAAUUAUUAUAGGCUUGUGGACCUCGUAGUCUCCCGCCAUGAACGCGAGGGGGACGUUCCUGCUCCUCCGCCUCGCCGCCCUCCUCGCCACAGGUGUUUGUCAGGGUGGGGCGGCGAGGUUCUACACAACUAACACCCUGACGGAGGUUGAGCCGCGCGUGGGGGGAGACUACGACGCGCUCCUCGACCAGGUGAGCGGGGACUUCGGCGUCAGGUCAGAGGUGCUGGAGGCGGCAGGGCAGGAGCCAGAGUACCGGGGAGCGGACACGAUGGUGGUGCCCCUGUACAUCCCUAAGGGCGCCGUGCCGAUCAAGGUGGCCCGCAUCGCUCGCUCUGACUCACGCGACCCUGUGCUGGAGGUGGUGGACCUGACCAUGUCCCCCGCGGCUGAUUCCGUCCUCAUACGAAGGAUAGGACCGGUGGACAGACAAAGGGCAGCGUCGCCACCUAACAGAGCCACCUGGAGACCCCCGCAGAGGACGAGGAUAACGAGAUUGACUCCUAUUAGACGAUCAGACUCUCCUCGUCGACGUGUUCCCUUGCCCUCUUCGUCCUCGCCCUCUCCCUCGCCCUCGUCCUCGCUCUCCUCCCCGUCCCCGCCCUUACCCCGCUCCCCGGCCCUGCAGUCUGAGUUCGGGAAAAGACUGCCUGUGUCUGAGGGCGGCCCCAUAGACACUCCAGUCCCGGACACAGACACCGCCACCAAAAGAGCGAAGAAGAAUGAGUUAAGUAAAGAUUCGCAGUUUCCUGAAGAGCUGCACACUACCACUCUUCCCACCACCACCACCACCCCAACCACCACCACUACCGCCGCCGCUUCCUCUGCAUCCACUUCCUCGCCUCCACCGCCCCCAGAUCCCAAAGGCGGAGAGAUUAAAGCCACAACUCGUAGGUUUUCCACUCAUUUAGCCUCCACCUCUACCAGUACCGCUAUCCCAUCAACUACCACUUCAUCCACCUCUACUACCACACCCACCACCACCACCAAUGCCAAGUCUCCACCACCUACCACCACCACCACUACUUCCACUACACCAUCAGCCACUGAGAAAACCACAACCACCACUACUACAGAGUCCACCGCACAGAAGACCCCUUCCUCCACCUCCUCCACUACGGAACGGCGAUCCAUUAUCUUUCCUAGACCGGUGGAGAGUGUGAUAAACGGCAGAGGGAAAAGCUUAGCAACCACCACCACCACCACAACCUCCACCACUACUACCACCACCACCACGCCCUCCACCACCACCACCAAGACAGUAACAAGUGGCCGGAGUUUCCCUGUACCUGUGAGGAACCUGCCAGCGUGGGUGAUGAGGCCCAGAACACCACCACCACCACCACCGCGACGCAUCUUCAUCACCACCACCACCAGCACCACCACCACCACGGAGAGACCACGUAGAAUUAGAGAUAAGCUAAGACGGCUGAGCAGACUUCGAGGUGGUGUUAAUAAGGAGCCUUCCACCACUACCACCACCACAACCACCACAACGGAGAGAGCCCGAACCACUACCCCGUCAACCACUACCACUACAACUGAGAGGAAGACACCGCCGACCACAACACAGCCCUCCACGACCACCAGAAGAACCUCCACCGUCAGGAAGAUGCCGAGUGUGAGUGAAAUAUUGAACUCCCGUAUUGAAGAGGAGGAGGAGGAGGAGAACCUGGAGGAGAACCUUUCUACUAGCCUGGGCCGCCCUUCAACGACCGAGGAAUACACGACGAAAACUACGACCUUGAGAACCGUUGAAACAAGAGAGAGAGAGAAGGACCAGAGCACAACGACUUUGAAAACUGUUGAGGAAAAGCAAAGAGAUAACGACAAAAGCACCACGACUUUGAGAACUGUUGAAAGGCAGCGAGAGAACGAUCAGGCCACCACGACCUUGAAAACUGUUGAAAGGCAAAGAGAGAAGGGCCAGACAACUACUUCGACCACGCAGAAGGCCCUGGAGGAGGAGAUACAGAAGACCCAACUUCGUGUGGCAACCGAAUCCUCGUCAGUAGAAAAGGUCCCUCUCUCCAACGCCAACUGGAAGUUCGUGAGACGCCCGCAACCUCCCCAGGACAGUGAAAACCCAGAGGCACUCCCAAGACCUUCAGGACCCCGUCGGCGCCGCCCUCUGAGGCCUAGAAUCAAGCUGCCACCACCCAUAACCUACCACAGAACCUCCACCACACCACCACAGGAAACCUUCGCCUCCACCUCCACCACUGCCACUACCACACAUCCUCCCCCCACCUCUACGACCACCACCACCACCACUACCACACCACUUACCACUACAAUCACAGUAACCUCAACAACCACCCCGCGUGUUGUUCUAACCACCACGACCACCACCACCACCACACCUGUCCCCACCACAGCUGCCACCACGAGAACCCCAGCGCAGGUGGUGAUAGACAGCCUGACGGAGAUCAUGAAGCAGGCCACCAACACCAGCAGGAACAAGGACCGCGUGUACAACAUCACGGCGAAGCUGGAGAGCCUCAACCGGCGACUGGCGGAGCAAGGCAUUCACAUCAUUCACGCUGAGGUGGAUGGCGAGAAGAUCAAGCUAGACAACAGGAUGAUAAUACGACCUAGACAGCCUCCAGUCACCACCUUCAGGCCCUCCACCUCCCUGCCAGCCUCCACCCUCCCGUUCCCGCGACCCUCAGCUCCCUCAUCCUCCACGUCCUUCUCCUUCUUCACGCCCUCAACAGAAGAAGACGCACAGGGCAAGCAGAUUCAGACCUCCAUCAGAUCCUCCUUCUCCUUCCACACCUCCCACUCCCCAGACACUGUGAACGAGGUGCAGACAACCACCGGAGACUCCACGCCCACCACCAACAAACCUGUAGACAUGAGGAAACCAGACGACAAGCCCUUCCUCGCCCCCUCCAGGCUCCCGACGGCGAUGGAGGGCGAAGAGCAGACCAGGAACAUCUCAGACCCAAGGAUGCCUGAGUCUCCCUCCGUCAUUAUCAGCGGCACGAGGUCUAGUUUGGACUGGGAGGGCCGGCGCGGGACCUCCACCUCUAUACUCGCCACAGCCACCGUCCCCACCACCGUCACCACCCGCACCAGGUCCACCACCGUGCCCGUCACCACACACCAGCCUGUCACCACGCCCUCUCUCCGCCUCCGCCCGACACACGAGGCAGGGAAUGAGUCUCAGUCUCCUGACGACGCCCGGCCCUCCACCACCGUCCACCCGACCUCCCACCACCGCCCAACUUUCUUCCCGCCGCCCACCGACCACAGUCACGCCGACAGAACUCCGAAUCCUACGCGCAUCCCGACCAUCAAGGUAGUGUCCAUCCUGAAGGGCGCAGAGGUCCCAGGAUCCCCCGCUACUGUAGAGGAUGUCGUAGAGGAUGACCUGCAGGUUCUAAAGGACUCGCAGGAUAUGAAUGACACCCCAAAGGCCUCUUACACCGCCAUCUACGUCAUCAGUGUCAUCGGCGUCAUCCCAGCGGCUGGGCUCGCCUUCUUCAUCGCCCGCAGGUUCCUGAAGAAGACACAGAAGGCGCUGCCGGAGAGUGAAGAGAGAGGGGAAGGGUUCACGCCCAUCACGCACCACCACUCCAGGAAAACGCAGUCCUCAGCCCACGCCCCAGCUAUGCAGGAGAGUGAUGGGCCUUCGUCAGUAGAGGCAAAGAACCCUCGCUUCACGCCCUGGGAAUUUCCUCGCUCCAAGCUUCGUAUCGCCUCCAUCCUGGGCCAGGGCAACUUCGGAGUGGUGUGGAAGGCAGAGGCGCGGGACCUGUGUGCGUGUGAAGGGUCCCAGGGCGGCCCCACGGUGCUGGUGGCGGUGAAGGGCGUGAAGGAAGGCGCCGGACAGAAGGAGAAGCAAGAUCUACUGAAGGAGCUGGCCAUCAUGCAACACCUGGGCCAUCACACUAAUGUUGUCACGCUGCUCGGGUGUUGUACUCAGCAAGAGCCUUACUACGUCAUCAUGGAGUACGUGAUGUUUGGCAAGCUGCUCACCUUCCUCCGAGACCAUCGCACCAGACAGAACUAUUACAACUUCUCUUCAGACACAGCAGCCCUCACCUCCCAAGACCUCACCCGCUUCGCCUGUCAAGUGGCCUCAGGGUGCGAGUACAUUCAGAGCCGAGGGAUUAUCCACCGAGACUUGGCUUCACGUAACGUCCUCGUCGACCACAACAAAGUCUGCAAGAUCGCUGACUUCGGGCUGGCGAGGAGUGUGAAGGACCUGGGCAGUGACAUCUAUGAGCAGAAGAGCAGGGGAGCCUUGCCUAUUAGAUGGAUGGCCCCGGAGUCUCUCUAUAUGAGCAUCUUCACCCACAAGUCCGAUGUCUGGAGCCUCGGUAUUCUCUGCUGGGAAAUCGUCACUCUAGGCUCCACCCCGUACCCCGGCAUGACUGCGCGGGAGGUGAUGCGGCGAGUGCGUGAGGGUUACCGCCUGGAGCGACCCGAGCACUGUCACCAGGAGCUGUAUCGCAUCGUUACCCGCUGCUGGCACCAAGACCUCAAUCAGCGUCCCUCCUUCACGGAAAUCAAGGAGGACCUGCAAGAACUCCUAGAGAACUCCCCGACUGGUUAUAUCGACCUUGAAAACUUCCCAGAGAGCAGUUAUUACUCCAUGCAUGAAAAUACCGAGGAGAAAUUGUAACGUUGAUGUAUUGUGGCUUGUAUUCUGAAUCGCUUCUGCUCGUAAUCCACUUCUACUUUCAAAAGGCUUUAGUUGUAGUUACAUGGGUUUUCAAGUUUGUUUUUAUGGUUCUAGUGACAGAUGGACAAGAUUUCUACAUUAUUGAUAGCAGGAACACUCGUGAGAACCUGAUUGGUCAUGGCUGUGGCCUUUGAAAAGAGUCGUGAGAGAGAGAGAGAGAGAGAGAGAGAGUGUUUCAGAAUACGAGCCACUACUAGACGCGUUACCUGAAAGGUGAUAGUCAUAUGAGUCUAUUUCUCAGUCUUUUAAAUUAUGAGUCCGUCUUAUUAUGUGUCUUGUUUAUUUUUACUUUUAGUCAUGUGUGUGUGUGUGUGUGUGUGUGUGUGUGUGUGUGUGUGUGUUGGCCUGCAGGUAUAAACUUUGUAACGAGGAAGAAAAAAAAAGAACAAGAAGGAGGUUUCGGUUACAAAUUAACUUUCGACACCUGUACUAGUAUAUUCUUAACGUAGUAGAUAUAUUACCGUGCGUCUUUUUUCUAUGGCUAAGUAUGCACAAUAUAAAAGAAAUGUCAACGAAUAGAUACACGAGCAACAAUCCCUCAUAAUUCGGGGAAAAUGCUAAUGAGCGUCAAAACUCGAUAACAAGAUUCACUAGUCUUAAAAAAUUCUUAUAAAACCGUAUCAAUAGCGUAGCAAGUAACAAAAACCCACUAAACAAUAAUUAUAGAAAACAAACAGUACUACCAAUCACAACUAUACCAAUGCUGCCAACCAUGCGGGACAAGAGAAGGCAACGGGGGUACUUAAGACUAUAGAGGAAGUAAGGUGUCACGGUGUUUACCCUGCGUGUCUGAGGCUGCAACGCCCUAACGGAGAACAACCACCGGGACACUGGCGAGAGUGCAAUAAGCCAAGUACAGGGUGAAGAAGCCAGUUAAAUAUAAGCCGGCAGUGUGAUUUAGUUGCGCGGGGGAGGCAGAGAAGCAGAAGGCAUUGGAAAAGUUGGCGGUCGCGGCAGUAGAGGCUGACUGGCUGAC
rnacentral:misc_RNA from 1 species